AGACGAGAUGGCGAGAGGAGGGAGACCGACGACUGGUGGAAGUAGACGACGAUGAGCGGAGGUGGAAAGGAUUGGUGGCUACUGGGUACUGGCUGCUGCUUUAAGUGUUAGGGUUUUAGACUUUCAGUUCUCUGUCCUAAGUCUCACUUUCUGUCUUUCUCUAGAAUGAGGAAUAGGUAAGUAGGAAUUAGAAUAUUAGAUAAUUAGUUUUGUGGUCGAGUGGAGACAGUACACUGUACAGAAC
rnacentral:lncRNA from 1 species